AUGUGAUCAUGUGACUCAUUAAUGAGACCCUAGAGUUCAACUCACUUUUCUACAAUCACACAGCUGGUGUGCAGCAGAGCUCAGUUUCAAACUCAGUUUGUCUGAAUGCAGAGCCUGAGUCAACCAUGAUUGGUGACAGAAGGUGGAGUUUCUCCUAAGGGCAACGUACCAGUUGACUCCUGACUGCAAAGUGUGCUGGGGGCGGGCCUGGCUUCCUCCCUUCCAGCAGGAGGUACCAUCACCCCUUCCGCUCGCUAAGCACUGUCAAGGGCUGCCUGCGGAGGUGGGCUCUGCUCCGGAGCUCCGUUCCCAGUGCUCCUGCUCGGCAGCCAGACCGUAACAAAAUACCACAGACCUCUGGCAUCGACAGAAACAUAUUUUCUCACAGUGCUGAAAGCUGAGAAGUCCAAGACCAAGUGCCAGCAGGGCUGGGUUUCUGGUGACUCAGCAGUAAAGAAUCCACCUGCAAAUGCAGAAGACACAGGUUUGAUCCCUGGGUCGGGAAGAUGCGCUGCAGAAGGAAAUGGCAACCCACUCCAAUCUUCUUGCCUGGAGAAUCCCAUGGACAGAGGAGCCUGGCAGGCUACAGUCCUGGAGGUCAUAAAAGAGUCAGACACGACUUAGUGAUUAAACAACAGCAACAACCUCCUGAAUACGUGGUCAUACUAGGGGUUAGGGCCUCAACAGCAUGAAUUGGCAGGGGGCGGGGGGAGGCAAGUCAGUCCAUGCCAAGCAGUUACCUUAUUCUCAUAUUCCUUUUUAUAAAAUUGAAGUGUAGUUGAUUUACAAUGUUGUAUUAGUUCCAGGUGUUCUCAUAUUCUUUAAAAGAAGGAAGUUUUCCAUGAACAUCUACUCCCAGGUAUUUUUAAGACCCCAGAAGUUUAUUUUACUGUACUUUUAAUCUUUGAAAAAUUUUUGUUUUGUUUUCAAAUUUUAUUUUAUUUUUAUACAAUUUUAAAGGUUACUUUCCAUUGACAGUUAUUAAAAAAUAUUGACUAUAUUCCCUGUGUUGUAUACAAUACAUCCUUGAGCCUAUCUUACACCCAAUAUUUUGUACCUCCCAAUCUUUCACCCUUAUAUGCUC
ensembl:lncRNA